AAUAUAAAAGUAUAAUAUACGUUUGAUUUCCAAUCAAAAGUAGAGCUUAUUUUUAUAAUU
rnacentral:tRNA from 1 species